rfam:Cryptosporangium arvum DSM 44712 genomic scaffold CryarDRAFT_CAH.1, whole genome shotgun sequence.
GUGGCCGUAGCUCAAUGGCAGAGCACCAGGUCGUGGCCCUGGAGGCGCCGGUUCGACUCCGGCCGGUCACC